UACGUAGGUGGCAAGCGUUAUCCGGAAUCACUGGGCGUAAAGCGCACGUAGGCGGAUUGCUAAGUCAGGGGUGAAAUCCUGGAGCUCAACUCCAGAACUGCCUUUGAUACUGGCGAUCUCGAGUCCGGGAGAGGUGAGUGGAACUGCGAGUGUAGAGGUGAAAUUCGUAGAUAUUCGCAAGAACACCAGUGGCGAAGGCGGCUCACUGGCCCGGUACUGACGCUGAGGUGCGAAAGCGUGGGGAGCAAACAGG
rnacentral:rRNA from 1 species